UACGUAGGGGGCAAGCGUUAUCCGGAUUCACUGGGUUUAAAGGGCGCGCAGGCGGAUUUGUAAGUCAGUGGUGAAAGGCUUAAGCUUAACUUGGGAACUGCCAUUGAUACUAUAAGUCUUGAAUGUUGUUGAGGUUUGCGGAAUGGGUCAUGUAGCGGUGAAAUGCAUAGAUAUGACCCGGAACACCUAUUGCGAAGGCAGCAGGCUAAACAAAUAUUGACGCUGAGGCUCGAAAGCGUGGGGAUCAAACAGG
rnacentral:rRNA from 1 species